rnacentral:rRNA from 1 species
CGGAGAGGGCGCCUGAGACAUGGGCCCAGGCCCUACGGGGCGCAGCAGUUGCGAAACCUCCACAAUGCACGAAAGUGUGAUGGGGCUAACCCGAGUGCCGUCCGCUGAGGAUGGCUUUUCUCCGCUGUAAGGAGGCGGAGGAAUAAGGAGAGGGCAAGACUGGUGUCAGCCGCCGCGGUAAUACCAGCUCUCCGAGUGGUAGGGACGAUUAUUGGGCUUAAAGCGUUCGUAGCCGGCCUGGAAAGUCUCUCGUCAAAUCCAGCGACCCAAUCGCUGGGCCGCGGGAGAUACUACUAGGCUUGGGAGCGGGAGAGGCCGACGGUAUUCCCGGGGUAGGAGUGAAAUCCUGUAAUCCCGGGAGGACCACCAGUGGCGAAGGCUGUCGGCUAGAACGCGUCCGACGGUGAGGGACGAAAGCUGGGGGAGCGAACCGGAUUAGAUACCCGGGUAGUCCCAGCUGUAAACGAUGCGGGCUAGGUGUCGGUGUGGCUACGAGCCACUCCGGUGCCGCAGGGAAGCUCUUAAGCCCGCCGCCUGGGAAGUACGGUCGCAAGGCUGAAAC